CAGAUGUGAAAGACCCGGGGCGUCAACCUACCGGAAUAGCAUUUGUAAACUAGGCAGACUAGAGGUACUGUAGAGGGGGGUAGGAAUUUCAGGUGUAGCGGUGAAAUGCGUAGAGAUCUGAAGGAAUACCGGUGGCGAAGGCGGCCCCCUGGACAGAUACUGACACUCAGAUGCGAAAGCGUGGGGAGCAAACAGGAUUAGAUACCCUGGUAG
rnacentral:rRNA from 1 species